rnacentral:rRNA from 1 species
GACGAACGCUGGCGGCGUGCUUAACCAAUGCAAGUCGACGGAAAAGGCCUUGUUUUGGUGGGUUCCUGAGGUGCGAACGGGGGGAUAACACGUGAGUUACCUACCCCUUGCUUUUGGGUAACUUUAAGAAACUUGGGCUAAUACCGGGAAAGAGCUCCUGGUGCAUGGGUGGGGUUGGGAAGGUUCAGCGGGUGGGGAUGGGCUCGCGGCUUGUUGGCGUGUUGGUGGGGGUGUGGCUUACCAAGGGUUUGACGGGUAGCCGGCCUGAGAGGGGGACCGGGCACAUUGGGACUGAGAUACGGCCCAGAGUCCUACGGGAGGCAGCAGUGGGGAAUAUUGCACAAUGGGCGGAAGCCUGAUGCAGCAACGCCGCGUGCGGGAUGACGGCCUUCGGGUUGUAAACCGCUUUCGCCUGUGACGAAGCGUGAGUGACGGUAAUGGGUAAAGAAGCACCGGCUAACUACGUG